GAUGAAGAACGUAGCGAAAUGCGAUACGUAAUGUGAAUUGCAAAUUCAGUGAAUCAUCGAGUCUUUGAACGCACAUUGCGCCCCCUGGUAUUCCGGGGGGCAUGCCUGUCCGAGCGUCAUUGCUGCCUCAAGCACGGCUUGUGUGUUGGGCCCCGUCCUCCGAUCCCGGGGGACGGGCCCGAAAGGCAGCGGCGGCACCGCGUCCGGUCCUCGAGCGUAUGGGGCUUUGUCACCCGCUCUGUAGGCCCGGCCGGCGCUUGCCGAUCAACCCAAAUUUUUAUCCAGGUUGACCUCGGAUCAGGUAGGGAUACCCGCUGAACUUAAGCAUAUCAAUAAGCGGAGGA
rnacentral:misc_RNA from 1 species